CAAAAUUUAGGGUUAUUUAUGGAUAAUUUGGGUAAAUAUUGACAGGAGUAUUAUGGAUAAUUUGGGUAAAAAUUUGGCAGCUCAUUGAUACUCUAUUUUGUGACUGUCGAAAACCGGGCAGUGCCCGAGCGAGUAAAAAGGUGUGGUCGGAAUGGGCAUAUACAAAUGGCAUAUUUUUCCUUGUUAUGGUGAUACUAGUCAUAAACGUGAUUGACGUUGGCUUGUUAUUUGGUUGUCAUUCGUACUUGAUUGUGAUCGGUCGAACAACAUGGGAGCACAUGGCUCACUCGAGAAUCUCGUAUCUCAAGAUCUUCAAAGAGGGAGUGAAUCCAUUUCACGAGGGAUAUUUCAAAAAUGUUUGCACGUUUCUGUGUCAUUGUCGUGUACGCAAAUGGGAAAAGGUCUUUCAAAGAAGUAGUAUUAAUUUAGGAGUAUGACAUUAAUGUGACAUUAAUGUGACUGUCGUUUUCAAAAUUUGGCAAACUCCAUGAGAGCUCUUUGCCAUGUAAUAGAUGGUGGACCACCU